CCUACGGGAGGCCGCAGUGAGGAAUCUUGGUCAAUGGACGAGAGUCUGAACCAGCCAAGUAGCGUGAAGGAUUACUGCCCUAUGGGUUGUAAACUUCUUUUAUAUGGGAAUAAAAUGUUCCACGUGUGGGAUUUUGUAUGUACCCUAUGAAUAAGGAUCGGCUAACACCGUGCCAGCAGCCGCGGUAAUACGUGGGCUCCAAGCGUUAUCCGAACUUAUUGGGAUUAAAGGGCGCGUAGGUGGAUUGUUAGGUCAGUUGUGAAAGUUUGCGGCUCAACCGUAAAAUUGCAGUUGAAACUGGCAGUCUUGAGUACAGUAGAGGUGGGCGGAAUUCGUGGUGUAGCGGUGAAAUGCUUAGAUAUCACGAAGAACUCCGAUUGCGAAGGCAGCUCACUGGACUGCAACUGACACUGAGGCUCGAAAGUGUGGGUAUCAAACAGGAUUAGAUACCCUUGUAGUC
rnacentral:rRNA from 1 species